UAAUAGCACACGACGUCCUUUGGACGUCCAAAAUAGGUCCAUUUUUGGUCCUUACGUCCAUGGACUAUAAACGGACGUCCUUUGGACGUCCCAUGUUGGACGUCCUUCGGAAGGAAUAAAUAUGGACGUCCUUUGGACGUCCGACGUUGGACGUCCUUCGGACGGAAUAAAUAUGGACGUCCUUUGAACGUCCGACGUUGAACGUCCUUUGGACCUCCAUACUGGACGAAAUACGGACGUUUUAUGAACGCUUAUAUAUUUUAUAUUGGACACAUUAUUACGGGAUCAAAUAGCAAAAUAAUUCAAUAAAAUAUUAACUUACGCGUUAACUUUACGUUAAUGAAAUACAGUCAAACCUGUCAGUAACGGCCACUAAAAUGAAAGAACUAUUGGCCGAUAUAGAAAGGUGGCCGUUAUUGCCAGUUUUUGUAGUCUAGAUAUACAGUAAAACUUGUGUUACUGGCCACCUGAUAAAAUCGGCCACCUGUACUAACGGCCGGUUUAAAUAUUCCCCAAACCAAUUAUAUCUGGACUACAAAAACUGGCAGUACCGGUCACCUUUCUAUAUCGGCCAAUAGCUUUUCAUUUUUAGUGGCCGUUACUGACAGGUUUUACUGUAAUUGGUUUGGGGAAUUUUUAAACUGACCGUUAGUACAGGUGGCCGGUGUUUGCAGGGGGCCGGUAACACAGGUUUUACUGUAGUUUAAAUCGAAAAGAUUAAAUCUUAAUUCAAAAUUGUAUAUACAAUUAUUACAAUUAUAAACAAACUAUAUAGUUUAAUAUCCAAAACAUGUUUUUGAUUUUAUGUAAUGUAAUGAAAAUCUUAUUUGUAAAUUAUUGGUUACAAUGUUUAACAAUAGGAAAUAUUCAAGAAUAAAUAAAAUAAAAGUUUAAUCCUAACAACACAAAACAUUCCAGGAAUAUAGGUACUACCGUUCUAUUCCGUGAACAUCUAUCUGAUUAAAUUAUAUUAUGGGUGGAAAGUUACCACAAGAUAUUCUAUGAACAUAGUACAAUGUCUUCCUGGAGGGGUAAAAUUUUCCAUUACAAGAUUUUAAGAGAGGCCAUUUACUGUUCAAUUUGCGUUCAUUUUCAAAUUUGCCGCGCGAGUAUCUAUGUAGCGUCGCGUGGUCAUUGGUCAUCACAUUUCAUUUUCAUAAGAUAAAAGAUAACCGAUAGAUAACCUAAAAAUUUAGUAAAAAUUUUGAUUGGAAAAAAAUGCAUCGAUAAGGGGGUGUGGGAAAUGGAAAUUAGUGGCUUUUCUGCUGUACUGUCUGCUAGUCAAAUCACACAACACUUUUUUCUAUGCUGCUAGUUUUUGCUCUGGGCUCUGGCUGGAUCUCUUGUUUAAACAAUUUUAAUCAGCUGAAAGUGGCCUACAAAAAAAAACCAAGAAGGAAAUAUAUAGCCUUGUGGCUAUGAAAGGCAAAAGAGAGAUAUAAAAAGUGUAUUGGCUAGUUGGAAGAAAGUCCACAUUGUCCAUGCAUAAUAAGUUAUUACUUUAUCAACAAAUAUCAAGAAGAUAGCAGGGUCACGAGCAACAACUUCAUAAGUUCAAGAAUAUCGAGGAAAUCCAGCUCCUCGAUACUACUGGGCAAACUAGAAGAUUGAAGAGGACAAAGCCUUUUGAACUAGUUUGAGUGAUAGGUGAUAGUGAAAAACGGAGCAUAGUGCUUGUGUGCUGUGCCUGUGUAUGUUAGAAUAGUGCACGAUCUUGUUAGAUUAGAUAAGAGACGCUAUGGGGUAAGCUCUUCAUUUUAAGAAACAGUAGUAAUUUAGGUUAAAUUAAAAUUGCUCAUUGGUCAGUUAUGACCAGAUUGUUUUUUUAUGUUUGGCAAAAAGGACUUAAGUCAGAAUUGCACAUUGAUAAUGUUUUGAUGAUUUCUGGACCAGAAAAAAACUGUUGUAGAUGUAAACUGUAUGUACAGUAGAAUCUACUACAGUACUGUAGAAAUCAUCAAAACAUUAUCGAUGUGCAAUUCUGACUUAAGCCCUUUUUCCCAAACAUCAGAGAAUUGUAAUGUACAAUAAUUCUCCUAUCUGCUUUUUCAUGAAUUUUGUAGGAGAUGAAAAACCAUUUUUAGGAUCAUCUGCUUUCACAUGUAAAUUUUGACAUGUUUUGUAGUAAAUAGAUAGUUGAAUUUACUACAAAACAUGUCAAAAAAUAUAUGAAAACAGGAGGUGACUAUAAAAAAAGUUUUUAGUCUCUCUUACAAAACUCAUGAAAAAACAAAUCGGAGGUAUGUCACAUCAGUGACUAUAUCCAGGGAAUGUCUAAAAAAUAUACUUUGAUGUCCCAAGAACCAAAUAUAACCUACAGUCCAUCUAAUUUACUUACUGUUGCACGUCAUUAUCUACGCCAGAGAUCUAAGUUGACAUAGUUGCCAAAGUAUAAAAAGAUCCUGAAUCCAUUUUAAAUCAAAUAUAUCACAUAAUUAUUGUAAACGUGGAUUAUACAACAAAACAAAUUAAUAUUCAAUGUAAAUAAGUAAAAACUUAAGAAAUAGAGAACAAGAAUUAAGUUAUAAUCUUUUAAGAUUUGCAGUGCAAGAGUUUUUGCACUGCAUUGUUAAUAAUUAAAAAACGGCUCCAAACUCUUGGCAAAAAGCUGGUAGGUUUCUUUGUAUAAGUUUGUCUACAAUAACAACUAAAAAAGUUGUCAGAUACCUCGAUUAUUCCAAGUCGUUAUAAAAUUAGGUGAAAUUUAUAUUUUUAUAGUAGAGGAUCUUUUUAUAGUAAAGUAAAUAAUAAAAACAGUAAAUAUAAUAAAUAAAACAGAUACUUAUAGUAAAGAAUAUAAACAAAUAUGAAGUGUCAUCACCGUAACUGUCAAAUAAAUGUUACCAAUUUAUUCUAAAAUGUCACCUUCGUUCGAUUACAGUUACAGUGUGAUCCGAACAAAUCUGCUUCAUAAAAACGCUUUAUAAUCCAUUUAUACAAAUUAAAUGAAACAUAUUAUUGUGUAUUUCUUUAGGUUAACAUUAAUAGAAAUCUUCAAAUAUUAUUUCUACGCGUAUAUAAUAAAAUAUGUCUAGUGGCUGUAAUUCCAUUGUACUCGGCAAAGUGAUUCUAAAAAAGAACACACCUACCGCCUAAAUAUUUCAGUUAAAAUAAAUAACAGUUAGUAAAUUAGACGAAGUAUGUAGAUUAGUGAUGUAACGAAUAUUCGUAUUCGCAUUCGCAUUCGCGAAUAUUCGCAUGUUUUUGCAUAUUCGCAUUCGCAUCCGCAUUCGCGAAAUUUGUGCGAAUGUUUUGCGAAUAUGAAAACCAGAAAAAAAUAAUUUUAAGAUAAUAUUAGGUUAAUAAAAUCGAAAUCUAUUCACUUCUGAUCUUUUUUUAUUAAGAAAAGGUAACUUAAUCUCAAACAUGCAGCUACUCUCAAAUGGAAAUAUGCAGGACACAACAGCAGACAAAGAGAUGGAAGAUGGAAUGAAGCGAUAACUCACUGGAGACCUUGGGACUACAAAAGAGGAAGGGGCAGACCACAUACGAGAUGGUCGAAUGACCUAAAGAGAUACGCAGCGACCAGAUCGACAGCAUUAGCACUGAACCGAGAAGAGUGGAAAAGUAAGGGGGAGUCCUACGUUCAACUUUGGACAAAUGAAGGGCAAUAGAUAGAUAGAACUUAACCUUGUAUAAUCACAUUAUCAGCCUUCACUUUUUUUUUUAUUAUUUGGUAUUAUGUAAUAAAGCUUAAGAUUCAGAUUGAUUUACACUAAAUAUCACUUAACUUUUCAUUAAAAAUUUAGGAAACAUUACAAAAAUAGAAACAAAUUAAAAAAAAAACUGAACAUUCGCAUUCGCAUCCGCAUUCGCGAAUGUCAGUAGCAGAUAUUCGCAUUCGCAUUCGUAUUCGCGAAUAUUAAAAAAUGACAUUCGUUACAUCACUAAUGUAGAUAUAUACAGGGUGUAACAAAAAUACAGGUCAUAAAUUUAAUCACAUAUUCUGGGACCAAAAAUAGUUUGAUUGGACCUAACUUACCUUAGUACAAAUGUGCACACAAGAAAAGUUACAGCCCUUUGAAGUUAUAUAUAUAAUAGCACUAAGGGCCUUAGAGGCCCAUGGCUUGAAAAGUUUGUUUUUUUCUUCAUUUUCACGUUUCUUUAUGUACUGAGAUCUUCUCUGGCUUGAUAUGUGAUUUUUCUCCAUUCCUUCCUGUUAUUCAUUUUUCUUUUCUGACCCUGUAGCACCAUUCUUUCCAAAUCUUUUUCGACCUCUUGCUUCCAUCUAUUUUUCGGCCUUCCUCUUCUCUUUCUUGAAGCUGUAGUGUAGUUUAGUACCAUUUUUGGAGUCCUCGUGUUUGGCAUCCUUUCAAUGUGACCUCGCCAUCUAAGUCUCUGUGCCUUUAUCACUCAUUUGAAGUUACAAGAUGAAGUGAUUUUUUCCAAUAUAUCGAAAACUAUUAGAGAUUUUUUAUUGAAAAUGGACAUGUGGCAUUAUUAUGGCAGCAGUAUCUUACGAAAAAACUAUAGUAAAAUUUGGACACCCCAUAAAAAUAUUUUGGGGGUUUUGUUCCUUUAAACCCCCCCAAACUUUUGUGCACGUUUCAAUUUAAUUAUUAUUGUAGUACCAUUUAAACACAACGUUUUAAAAACUUUUUUGCCUCUUAUUGCUUUUUCGAAAAGUCAAUUUUUAUCGAAAUAUUUUGAAUAUUUGUCAAAUCCACCACAUAUUUGUAUAUGGUUAAGUACGAUUAUGGAGACUUGGUAAUAAUAUGCAGACUUAUUUAUGCUUUACAUUUUUAGGUAUAUUUUGAACCAUAUUAAAAAAGAAGCCAGAUCUCGAUAAAAUGUGCCUUAUCGAAAAAAUACAAAGAGGCAAAAAAGUUUUAAAAACAUUCUGUUUAACUAAUGGUACCUCAGUAAUAGUUUAGUUUAAUUGGAACGUACACAAACAUUUGGGGGGUUUAAAGGAACAAAACCCCCAUAAAAUUUUUAUGUAGACAUGUUAAAAAAGAAGUCGCAACUCAAUAAAAACUGCCUUAUCUGAAAAAUACUAAGAAACAAAAAUAUUGAAUUUAACUAAUGGUACCACAAUAAUAAAAUUGAAUUGGAACGUACACAAAAGUUUGGGAGGAUCUAAGGGAUCAAGACCCCCAUAAAAAUUUUAUGGGGUG